CGCAAUUACUAUUACACGGAAUUUCGGCUCUGUUGACAGUGCCAGUCUUCACAAAGCAUCCGUAUACACGUAUUUUCCAUUCGGUGAAAAGGCUUUUCUUCUAGACUUUCAAUCUUAGUUCUACAAACUCGGUAUCGUUCGUUCCAGUAAUGUGACCUCAGUUGCAUGCUUAUUUUCAAGAUAUGGAUUAUAAAAGCAUUUUAUAUCAAGCAAAUAUGAUAUAUACCUCAGGUGAUGAGCCAAAAGUAAAAAAAGCAGGAUUCGAGGUUGGGAUCUCUAGCGUUCCGAUCUCAUAUCUUACGAGCUUAACCACACGAACUUCUUGCUACUCGAGUUUAUGAAGGAGAAUGCCCCUCGCCCCUUAUUGAUACACGCCGAGCGGCUGAGAUUGCCAAGAAAGUAUUUUCGGUCGCUUGAAACAAGCGACUGAAGCAACAAGGACGGCUCGCUGUCUUGUUUGCUCUCGGCGCGCCAAAGGCGAGCACACAGACAUGGGCUCGUGCUUGUGUGUGUGGCUACCGAUUUCGCCAAAUGAAUCGAUCGCCGUUUGAUUCUGUGUCGCCACCGUUAACGCAAAGUUCUUGGCUGUACUCAGGAGCCUUAAUAGUGAUUUCAUAAUUCUGGAUGUUCCAACUCUUCUCCGAUAAGGAUGACAGGAUGACAAAUAUUUUUAUAACUACAGUUUCAGGAUUGAAACCGUUUAAUCACAUCUUUGUACAUAAAAUAAUAAAAAUUUGACAUAAAUUUAUUAGAAAUUACCGCAAUAUAUCAUUUAAUAGUAUAGGGGAUAGAUACAAUAUAAGCUUGAUAUUUUCUAAAUUCUUUUCUGAUACAGAUUUAUAUGAUUACAAUCGAUGUUGCAGAAAUUGUGCUUUUGUUUUUUGUUUCAAAUAUAGUGAGCCCAUUGCACAGAAAUUUGUAUAGAAAAA